UGAAUACAUAGGGUAAGGAGGCGAACCGGGGGAACUGAAACAUCUAAGUACCCCGAGGAAAAGAAAUCAACCGAGAUUCCGAAAGUAGCGGCGAGCGAAAUUGGACUAGCCCUUAAGCUUUACACGCGUUAGACGAACGGUCUGGAAAGUCCGACGAUACAGGGUGAUAGUCCCGUAGUUGACGACGUGUGUUCAGUGAAAUCGAGUAGGGCGGGACACGUGAUAUCCUGUCUGAAUAUGGGGGGACCAUCCUCCAAGGCUAAAUACUACUGACUGACCGAUAGUGAACCAGUACCGUGAGGGAAAGGCGAAAAGAACCCCUGUGAGGGGAGUGAAAUAGAACCUGAAACCGUGUACGUACAAGCAGUAGGAGCAGGCUUUGUCCUGUGACUGCGUACCUUUUGUAUAAUGGGUCAGCGACUUAUAUUCAGUGGCAAGGUUAACCAUCUAGGGGAGCCGUAGGGAAACCGAGUCUUAACUGGGCGUUCAGUCUCUGGAUAUAGACCCGAAACCAGGUGAUCUAGCCAUGGGCAGGUUGAAGGUUGAGUAACAUCAACUGGAGGACCGAACCGACUAAUGUUGAAAAAUUAGCGGAUGACUUGUGGCUAGGGGUGAAAGGCCAAUCAAACCUGGAGAUAGCUGGUUCUCCCCGAAAGCUAUUUAGGUAGCGCCUCGGACGAAUACUACUGGGGGUAGAGCACUGUUAAGGCUAGGGGGUCAUCCCGACUUACCAACCCUUUGCAAACUCCGAAUACCAGUAAGUACUAUCCGGGAGACACACGGCGGGUGCUAACGUCCGUCGUGGAGAGGGAAACAACCCAGACCGCCAGCUAAGGUCCCAAAUUACUACUAAGUGGGAAACGAUGUGGGAAGGCUCAGACAGCCAGGAUGUUGGCUUAGAAGCAGCCAUCAUUUAAAGAAAGCGUAAUAGCUCACUGGUCGAGUCGGCCUGCGCGGAAGAUGUAACGGGGCUAAGUAGUAAACCGAAGCUGCGGCAAUGUGCUUUUGCACAUUGGGUAGGGGAGCGUUCUGUAAGCGGUUGAAGGUGUGUGGUAACGCAUGCUGGACGUAUCAGAAGUGCGAAUGCUGACAUGAGUAACGAUAAAGGGGGUGAAAAACCUCCUCGCCGGAAGACCAAGGGUUCCUGUCCAACGUUAAUCGGGGCAGGGUAAGUCGACCCCUAAGGCGAGGCCGAAAGGCGUAGUCGAUGGGAAACGGGUUAAUAUUCCCGUACUUCUUACAAUUGCGAUGGGGGGACGGAGAAGGCUAGGUGGGCCUGGCGACGGUUGUCCAGGUUCAAGUGCGUAGGCUUGAGAGUUAGGUAAAUCCGGCUCUUUUUAAGGCUGAGACACGACGUCGAGCAUCUACGGAUGUGAAGUCAUUGAUGCCAUGCUUCCAGGAAAAGCCUCUAAGCUUCAGAUUGUAAGGAAUCGUACCCCAAACCGACACAGGUGGUCGGGUAGAGAAUACCAAGGCGCUUGAGAGAACUCGGGUGAAGGAACUAGGCAAAAUGGUACCGUAACUUCGGGAGAAGGUACGCUCUCGACGGUGAAGUCCCUCGCGGAUGGAGCUAUUGAGAGUCGCAGAUACCAGGUGGCUGCAACUGUUUAUUAAAAACACAGCACUGUGCAAAAUCGUAAGAUGACGUAUACGGUGUGACGCCUGCCCGGUGCCGGAAGGUUAAUUGAUGGGGUUAGACUUCGGUCGAAGCUCUUGAUCGAAGCCCCGGUAAACGGCGGCCGUAACUAUAACGGUCCUAAGGUAGCGAAAUUCCUUGUCGGGUAAGUUCCGACCUGCACGAAUGGCGUAAUGAUGGCCACGCUGUCUCCACCCGAGACUCAGUGAAAUUGAAAUCGCUGUGAAGAUGCAGUGUACCCGCGGCUAGACGGAAAGACCCCGUGAACCUUUACUACAGCUUGGCACUGAACAUUGACCCUACAUGUGUAGGAUAGGUGGGAGGCUUUGAAGCACGUACGCCAGUAUGUGUGGAGCCGUCCUUGAAAUACCACCCUUGUAGUGUUGAUGUUCUAACGUCGACCCCUUAUCGGGGUUGCGGACAGUGCCUGGUGGGUAGUUUGACUGGGGCGGUCUCCUCCCAAAGAGUAACGGAGGAGCACGAAGGUGGGCUAAUCACGGUUGGACAUCGUGAGGUUAGUGCAAUGGCAUAAGCCCGCUUGACUGCGAGAAUGACAAUUCGAGCAGGUGCGAAAGCAGGUCAUAGUGAUCCGGUGGUUCUGAAUGGAAGGGCCAUCGCUCAACGGAUAAAAGGUACUCCGGGGAUAACAGGCUGAUACCGCCCAAGAGUUCAUAUCGACGGCGGUGUUUGGCACCUCGAUGUCGGCUCAUCACAUCCUGGGGCUGAAGUCGGUCCCAAGGGUAUGGCUGUUCGCCAUUUAAAGUGGUACGCGAGCUGGGUUUAGAACGUCGUGAGACAGUUCGGUCCCUAUCUGCCGUGGGCGUUGGAAGAUUGAAGGGGGCUGCUCCUAGUACGAGAGGACCGGAGUGGACGAACCUCUGGUGUUCGGGUUGUGUCGCCAGACGCAUUGCCCGGUAGCUAAGUUCGGAAUCGAUAACCGCUGAAAGCUAUCUAAGCGGGAAGCGAGCCCUGAGAUGAGUCUUCCCUGAUACUUUAAGUAUCCUAAAGGGUUGUCGGAGACUACGACGUUGAUAGGUCAGGUGUGUAAGUGCUGUGAGGCAUUGAGCUAACUGAUACUAAUUGCCCGUGAGGCUUAACCAUACAACACCCAAGGGGUUU
rnacentral:rRNA from 1 species